AGCCUGAUUAGUGUCACUACUGUGCAGUUCUGGUGCAUACAGGAGGUGAUGUCUGUUUUGUCGGUAUUCCUGUCCGUCAGCCGUACGCACAUGAUAUGAUCUCUCAGCCUUGGCUGCUUUGAUGAUGGUAGCUGGCUUCCAGUACCCUCGUUCCUGUACUCUGACUGCCUGUCCUUCCGUAAGCUGAGAUAAGGGUCUAGCUGAUCUGUCAUAAUAGCUCUUUUGGUGCUGUUGUAGGUAGGAGUUGCUGAUUGGUAUUGGGAAGGGUUGAUCAGAGACGGCGACUCAUUAACAGCCGGGGACUUAAAACCAUCAACUGGGCAGUUGCGAUAUUCCAGGAGACUGAGGUCACAUUUGCCUUUUACCGACAAGCGUUCUCCACCGUAUCCAAGCAGAAGGCGAGAUGUCUGCUGUAAAGUGCACUGGGUACUCAACUUGGCAUAUUCGUGUAUGGAGAUGACGUUGGCAGAGGAUCCAGUGUCCAGUUUGAACCUGAUUUUGAGUUGUUCUACUUUAAUGUUUACAAAAGCCUGUUCCAUCUCUGAGCUUUGUCCGCCCUGUGUGACUGAAUCAAUAAACAGCUCAUCAUCACUCUC